rnacentral:rRNA from 1 species
UACGGAGGGGACUAGCGUUGUUCGGAAUUACUGGGCGUAAAGCGCACGUAGGCGGAUUUGUAAGUCAGGGGUGAAAUCCCGGGGCUCAACCUCGGAACUGCCUUUGAUACUGCAAAUCUCGAGUCCGGAAGAGGUGAGUGGAAUUCCUAGUGUAGAGGUGAAAUUCGUAGAUAUCGGAAGGAACAUCAGUGGCGAAAGCGACUUCCUGGACCAGUACCGACGUUCAGGCACGAAAGCGUGGGGAGCAAACAGG